AUCACAAUUUUUCAUUUUAUUUUUUCAGGCAUGCUUCACAGAAACUUUUUGGUGCCUAGAUCCAGAUAUCACUGUCUAAUCUGCCAAAUGUCAAUUUACAAGUUAACAAAGCGAGUUGCUGUGUUUUUCCUCACAUUAAUCUAGAAAGAUAAAGGAUAGAAUAAGACCAUUGUUUUAAAAUUAACAUUUGUAUAUUGGGGUCAAAACAAAGUGUUCUGGCCCCUUUAACACAGGUUAUUUAGAACUAGCCCUGAAACUUUUAUUUGCACUAAUAGAAUCAUAAAAUGUGUAAAAACAUGGUUUUAUGAGCAUGGUUAUUUAGAUCAAUUGUCUUAUUUAUGUAUUUCAUAUUCAAAACAUUUGGUUUAAUCAAUUUUACAUUUUCAACUAACCAUUUUAGAAAGUUUGUAUAUACAAUAAAUGCAGAAAUAAUUUUAAAGGAAAAUUUCAAAAGGCUCAUAGAAGCACAAUUGUGCAUGCGAUUAAAAGUGUAUGUUACCCCCAAAGGAAUUUAGAAUUGAUGAAGCUCUAUGACCAUAUAGAGUAAUUCUAAAGAAUAAAGUUCUAUGGAAUACAAACUUCUUCUCUAGACCCUUUUGUAUUUAGAUAUCUCAUAGAGAAUUUGGAA
rnacentral:lncRNA from 1 species